AGAGGGUUGAUUCGUCCCCUCUCGCUGCGGUUGUCGUUAUAGCUCCGUACAAUGUCAGCUAACCAGCUGGCAUAUGGCGGAGC
rnacentral:sRNA from 19 species